rnacentral:lncRNA from 1 species
GGCCGUUUAACGGUCGUCGCGCGAGGCGGCCCCGGCCGGUAGCGGCUGCGGUUGCUCCCUGAGGCGGGGCGGGGCUUGGCGGAACGCGGCUAGCGGGACGGAGUCAGCAGACAUUGGGAAAUGUGAGGCAAAAGGAAUGUGAGUGGAUGCAGCUUCAGUUGGUUCUGAUGAUUCUGAUUCAAAGUGUUCAAAACUCUUUGGAAAGUGUUGCAGGAGUCACAGCAUUACUUUCUUCAAACUGAACCUCUGCAAACUCUUCAGGCAUGUCAGCAGGGAGGAUCAUCAAAGGAAAGUUGCAACUCUUCUUAACCAUUCAGAAUUUCUUUUUGUUGGAACUGAAAAGACACAAGUGAUGUCCCAGCAUCAAAACCAGGGAUCAGAACUGAGCAGGAUGGAAGACAUAUUGAAUACAAGCAUAUGGUUUCAUGUGCUUCUGGAGAAG